rnacentral:lncRNA from 1 species
GACUUUAUGUUGAUAUAUGAUUUUUUAUUAUAUAUGUAUAAUACAUUGACUAUUUUGGUUAAUGGGAAUAUGAUAUUUGAUAUUUUAAAAUUGAACAAAAAUAUAAUAUAAAAUUAUUGAAUGACUUGUUGAUUGUGUAAGAAGAUUUUGGACUAAUCAUGAUAUAGAUUGCCGCUCAUGGGCUGAAUCCUGAUACUUGGAUCGUCAAUCAUGGGUCGAAUCAUGACAUCCUGAUUUGUCAUCACAGACUAAAGUAUGGAUAUCCUGGUUUGCCAC